CAAAAACAUGUCUUUUUGAUUUUGAUUGAAGGUCUGACCUGCCCAAUGAAUUUUAAAUGGCCGCAGUAUUUUGACUGUGCAAAGGUAGCAUAAUCAUUAGUUUCUUAAUUAGAAGCUGGAAUGAAAGGUUUGAUGAGAAAUCGACUGUCUCAUGACUAUAUUGGUUGAAUUUUAUUUUUGAGUUAAAAAGCUUAAAUUUUGUAUAGGGACGAGAAGACCCUAUAGAGUUUUAUUAUUUUCAUUUUUUUAGGGAGAAGAUUGAAAGUUUUGAAAAAUUUGAAUUAAUUUUGUUGGGGUGACAGGGAAAUUAUUUAAACUUUCUUUUUAUUUGGACACUACUGAGUGAUUGUUUGAUCCUUUUUUUAAGAUUAAAAGAUUAAAUUACCUUAGGGAUAACAGCGUAAUUCCUUUUGAAAGUUCAUAUUUAUAAAGGAGUUUGCGACCUCGAUGUUGGAUUAAAGUUAAUUUUUGGUGUAGAGGCUGAAAUAUUGGGUCUGUUCGACCUUUGAAACUUUACAUGAUCU
rnacentral:rRNA from 1 species